UUGUAAUCUGAUGUAGCGCCAACUGCUCAUCACCGAUCAGCCAUAACAUUAUGAGCACCUGGGCACCCUGAAGCAGUUUGAGCUACAGUAGCUCGUCUGUUACAACGGACCAACGACUACAUCAAUGAGCCUUGGCCACCAAUGACCCUGUCUUCGGUUCACAACUUUUCCUUCCUUGGACCCCUUUUGAUAGGUACUGACCACUGCAGACAGGAACACCCCACAAGAGCUGUGGGUUUGGAGAUGCUCUGACCCAGUCUUCUAGCCAUCACAAUGUGGCCCAUGUCGCUCAGAUCCUCACGCUGCCCAUUUUUCCUUCUAACCCAUCAACUUUGAGGACAAAAUGUUCACUUGCUGUCUGAUAUAUCCCACCCACUGACAGGAGCCAUGAUAUCGAAAUAAUCUGUAUUAUUCACUUCACCAGUCAGUGGUCAUAAUAAAAUGGCUGAUCAGUGUAGUUUUCUGUUCUGUAUAUCAAGAGACGGUUACAUUUAAAAAAGUUUUGUGUAGAUUUCCUCUCUCAUUGUAUUUAACAUUUCUGUCUCUGCAGGGUCAUCUCCGGCAGCUGACCUUCCUCAUGGGCACCCCAGACGCAGCCCAGCAACACUGUAGUCACCACCCGCCCCGCUGUGGUGAGACCGCCCCCAAGCCUCCUCGCUCCCCACGCACCAACAAUGCCCUGGAGAAUAUACUCCUGUCCUCGAAUGACCUGGAGGACCUGCUGGGGAAUCCCGAGGACAAGUCAUUUUUGGGCUUUGGUAGAACUGUAAGUAGGAUAUAAACGGCAGUGUUCUUUAAAGUUGUGUUGAAAAUCCCAGUUCAUUUAGGUGUUACAAGCAAGCAAAGUCCAACACAAAAAAACAUGCAGUUGCCUGGUUUCACAGCUGCGUCCUGGACUUGUAGUUAGGAGAGUGUGGGGUUAGAUCCAGCUGUGGACAGGCAGGCAGCUACAGACGUAUAUACCAACCAUCGGUCUGGUUUUUACUGGCUAUUUUUUUUUUCAUCAAUCUCUGUCUCUAACCACCAGUUCAUCUUCUGUCAUUAAUUAGUACUGCGGUGCAGAGCCUCAGGCGUCAGAGGCACCAACCAGCCGUCCCACCUCUUGUUCUCAACUGACUGGUCCACUUUUAGUGUGUGUGUGUGUGUGUGUGUGUGUGUGUGUGUGUGUGUGUGUGUGUGUGUGUGUGUGAGAGUGAGAGAGAGUGUGUUCUGUGAGACGCCUGUGUGCCUGACCUGUCUGAGCUCUGGUCCAUCAGUCUGUGUCUGCUCCCUGGUCUUUGUUGUGGCUUGAAAAGGGUUCAUUUGGUUGCUGAAGCUUAAAAUCUGUUUUGAUUAAUUAUAGCUUGGGCUUCAUUUUCUCAUUGAAAAUAAGGGGAAUUUAUUGGUGUCGUUACUUUGAACAUUAAAAGAAUGUGGAAAAAAUCUGACAAAAACAAUUAAAAAAUAAAUAAUUUAUUUUAACUUUUGCAACACAACCACUGCUUUUUUGGUUUACUUGUUUACAGGGUGUAUGAUCAGUAAAUUAUCUGUAUUUUCUCCACAUUUUUUUUCUCCAAGUUCUAUAACCAGAACCAUUUUUUGAUGUAAAUUUACACAAUGCCUGUACUUUUUACUCCACUAGUACUAUUUGAUAACUUGAGUUACUAGUUACUUUGCAGUCUGAGAUAACUACUACCUACCAUUGGAGAGUUGGCAACUGAUCACACUUUGUGCUGUGACAUAAAUAAAACUGCUCUUCACUGCAGAACAGACCGACCAUAUAGACCCUGUUCACAGCAGCCAUUUUGACAUGAAAUGGUAGAGUAAACACAGGCGUUAUUGUACUAUUUAAGGUUCCGUUCCAUUCAGGUCAAACAGAG
rnacentral:lncRNA from 15 species